rnacentral:lncRNA from 14 species
AAUGCAGAGAGAGACAUAUCAGAAGCAGGAUCUCCCUCUGUGAGGCGUUCAGGAAAGACGUGUCAGCCCAUCACUUAAGACUCGAAGAGGAAGAUGCACACGUAGGAGGAAGAGGAGGAGGAGCGAGUAG